rnacentral:rRNA from 1 species
UAGCCUAACGGCUGAACCAGCAACUUGGAGGAAUGUAUAGCAAUAGCUAGUUGCAUCAAUGUUUAAAUAAUUGAUGCGAUAUCGACUAUGUCGAAUAAAAUUCUAGGUAGAAUUAUGAUAAUGACAUUGUCUGCCUAUGUGUCUUGACCAAAUUACGUGCCAGCAGUCGCGGUAAUACGUAGAAGACUAGUGUUAUUCAUCUUUAAUAGGUUUAAAGGGUACCUAGACGGUAUAUCAAGCCUGCAACACGGGACUAAUGUACUAGAGUUACUUACGAGGGGGUAUUAAAGUACUGCUGGUGUAGAGAUGAAAUUCUGUCAUACCUCAUUUCGUAAGAAAUACUACGGCACAGGUAUAGGCGAAAGCAUCCCCUUAUGUGAUAACUGACGUUGAAGGACGAAGGCUUUGUGUAGCGAACAGGAUUAGAUACCCCAAUAGUCAAAGCAGAAAAUGAUGAAUGUCAUAGAUUAGACACUUAAUAGUUUAUUCUAUAAAUGAAAGUGUAAGCAUUCCACCUCAAGAGUAAUUUGGCAACAUUGGAACUGAAAUCAUUAGACCGUUUCUGAAACCAGUAGUGAAGUAUGUUGUUUAAUUUGAUAAUCCGCAAAAAACCUUACCACAAUUUGAAUAUUUAGAUUUUCAUUUUCUUUUUUUUUUGCGCUGUUUUGUUUAGCCUAACGGCUGAACCAGCAACUUGGA